UGGAGAAUGUAUAACUAAAAGUAGGAAAAAUUUACAUGUCCACGUGUAAAAUUAUUUUAUUGAAAGAAUGUGAUUGGAGUUUGAGACAAAACGAAUUUUAAAGAAUCAGACCAGAUUAAGGAUAAGAGCUUGUUUGAGCCUUUAUUUAUUAUUAUUUUUUUGGCCAAAAUGUAUUUUAGAAUAGUGAUUUGAUUGAGAAUGUGUGAUUAAAAAAGUAAGGAAAAUUUUUGGAUUUACGUGUAAUAUUAUUUUAUUCAAAAAUAUGUGGUUAGAAAUAAGAUGAAAAAGAAAAUAUAUUUUGUGUUAGGUCUAAUAUUGUAAUUGGCGAUUCUGUGAACAAAAUUAGCUUAAUUGAACAUUGUUAUAAAAGUCAGGGACUUGCAUUGCAAUUAUAUAUAGUUGAUUUGGCUAGGGUUUGCACUUGGAACAAGGUAGAAGAUGUGCCGAAAUUUCGAUAACUGCUCACCCGACUAUCAUUUGAGCUCAAAAAGCAAGAGCUCGUCCUUCGCUCUUGGCCCCCAUGUCGCUAGCUUUUCGCAGACUUGUUGCUUGAGCGACAGUGUUAUGUGGUCAAACCUUAGGUCGCGUUUUGAAGAAUUUUAUACGGUCCAAGACACUUAUAUACUCCCAAGUAUAAAUACCAAAGUCUAGGACAUGAGAAAUAGAGUUGCCAUAUUAUUCUUUCAUUGCAUGACAUCUAUACAUCUGUGUCCAAGAGAUCCAAGGUGAAAAUCAUUGGUGAUUCGCAUCUAUAACAUCUUAUGAUCCGACAACUAUGUUUUGGGAAAAUAUCAAUCAUCAUAACCCAAAACACCGCACUUCCUUAAUCUGUUGAGGAAUAGACCUUCUCAUUAGAGGAUUGAGAGAGGUGGCUUGAAGCACGGUUAUAAGCACAAGAACAUGCACUUCUUGGUGUUCGACUUGGAGAGACAUUUAGCAUAAGACCAGGAGGCUAUAGGAGAUAGCAGAUUGGGCUACGGAAGGUAGAUCAAGAAGUUUAGCAGGAGGAUAUAGGUAUCUACGGUAACAGGAGGUAGAUCAGAAGGUCUAGCAUGUGGCUAGAGGCAUCUACGACAGUAAGAGACUACAUGAGGUAGAUCAGGAGAUCUAGCAAGCUAGAUGUAUUUACAGCAGUAGAUCGUUAGACUGUGACAACAAGUCUUAGUGGUGUAUUCCUUGAACUAUCUAUAGUGGAGGUAACUGGGUUGGUUCCAGAAUUUUUUUGACGUUGGGUUUCUCCAUCAUCAAAUACUGUAUUAUUUACUGAUUUCUAAUUUAUACAAACUGCGGCAUUUAAACAUAAGAUUAAAUUGGAUUGUAUGUGUUGACCUUCUAAAAGACGCAACAUAUGUCGGGCCCACUCGAGUCCUCGUGGGCAAAUUUCGGUGCGUUUGGAUCGUUGAUUUGAUUGGACGGUAGAAUGGAUGCAGGAGAUGAUCACUCGACGCGAGACUAAGCAGUUCAGAGGCUAAGGAAGUGAUAGGAAAACUUUUACAUGGAUAGUGAUAAUCUUACUCAAAAAUUAUUACAACUUUUGCAAGUAAAUGAUAAAAGAGAGCAAGAUAAGAACACAAUCCAAUGGCAAGAGAUGUAUGUAGUUGUAUUUAUUUUCCUUUCCAAAAAAUGUGCCAAAAAUUUAUGUACCCGUUAUUUGUUCUUCUUUCCAGGUUUUCUCUCUUUCUUAUAUAUAUGUGUUGUUUCUUUUUUCUUUCUCCCUCCCCAUUUUUUUUUCUUGGGGAGGUUAUAUAUAGAGUUUAGGAAGACGCGGUGGCAGUUGGAUCCAACCACGUGCCCCUCCCUUUUCUUUUAUAUAUCACAUUCUUCUUACACAUGUAUUUAUUAUAUUGACAAAAAAGCCAACUGCCCUAUACUUGUAGGCUAAUACUUUUGAUAUAAGAUAAAAGUAGACGUCUAAUUAGUUUUUCACAAAGAUAUUUAUCAGACCAGUCAACGUGGCAGCCUUCUAAGCUCUUCGGACUUCGGCAUAGACCCUUCGUUUGGGCUUCGGUACCUUGGCUAGAACAAGGAUUUCAACUCCAUAUUUUAGGGCCUUGGCUGGUUGUGAACAUGAGGACUUCGACACAGACCCUUUGUUAGGGUUUCGGUACUUAUCUAGUUAAAUGGUACCUCGACCGGAACAAGGACUUCGACUUUCGGAGCCACUUUGUAAUCUUAUUGCUUCGUCUCUUCAUAUGUUUUGGGCUAACCCUUCUGGUGAUGUUAGUUGAUUUUUCACGUCGCUUUCUGCUCGCCAACUCAAUACAAGGAAUAAUAUCGGUCCCCCAAGUCUAAUUGUUAAAUACUCGUAUGAGAAUUUUUAAAUAAACAAUUAGUUAUUUUAAAUAAUUUCAAUAAUUAAAUAAGCGAUACCCAAACUUAAUCAUUUCACGUUUAAGCGAUUUCUACAGUCUCUUUAAUCACUAAAAUUAGUUUUUCUUUCACUUUACUCAAUUUCUAGUUUAUUAUACUUAACUCCUUCAAUAAAAUUGAAUUUAAUCUAACAACUAUACAAUCAAACAUAACUUGACAAUAAGUAACUUUUUACUUACCUUUUAAAAUUGAGGAAUUCAAGCCUAAUAAUGUAGACCACUUAAUUUCUAACACGUUGGCAAAAAAUUUCUAUUUUCUUCUUCUUCCCUUUCUCUUUUCUAUCUCUUUUUCUCUUUCUCCUUUUUUCUUUCUCUCUCCCCGCGCGUUUUUUUUUUCACAGUGUGUAUGUGUUUU
rnacentral:lncRNA from 1 species